AAAUAAUAGCUUGCUAUGAGGCAGACAUCGGCAGUCACUGUGCGGACCAGAUUUUGAAAAUUCAGUCUCUCUCUCUUUUUCUUUUCUCUAAUGCCUAGGGCUUGACGCGCAUCUCUGCAAGUGAUGUGUAUGCCCCUCCUCUUGCCCUGGUACCUAUGCGGCAUGGUUUGGUUGAAUCACUGGAAGACUAAAUACAACGAGCAUAAGAUUGUUUUAUUUUAAAAGAGAGCCUGACCAGGUAGCUUGGGACAUAAUUCAUGUUCUCUUGGAUGUGAGGAUUGUGACGCAAGUUGAUGAAUGGAGAGGAYGGCUGGGUGAGAGAAGCAGCGUGGAUUCCCUGGCUAGUUGCAGGUGGUGCAGAGGUUUGGAAUUGUUGUUUCAAAAGCUUUUCCAAAGCAGAAAACAAUGUAUAAGGAAAUAGAAACAGCAGUUAAAGGCAAUGUGAAAUAGAUGACUAACACUGGUCCCCAGCAAGGCUGUGAAGCAGAAAACAUGUCUAAAACUGUUAGAGAUUCUAUUGAAUAGAGCCACAAAUAGGAAACGCACAGGUUGUUACAGCCUCUAAUAUGUGAUCACCGAGAACACUGCCAG
rnacentral:lncRNA from 1 species